rnacentral:rRNA from 1 species
AUGGCGCAAGAUAAUACCAAAUUGUGUGAUUUCUCGAAUACCAAUAAUAAUGAUUUCCUUAGUAUUCCGGUUGCUCCUCUUAAUGAUGUUGAGUCUUGUGAAAUCAAUACUGCUUUGCUGAAUCUUGUUAUGAAAGAUCAAUUCGCUGGCCUUCCUAGUGAAGAUGCCACUACUCAUCUAAACAACUUUGUUGAUUUGUGUGAUAUGCAAAAGAAGAAAGAUACGGAUAACGAUAUUGUUAAAUUGAAGUUAUUUCCGUUUUCACUUAGAGAUCAUGCUAAAGUUUGGUUUUCGUCUUUGCCUAAAAAUAGUAUUGAUUCUUGGAACAAGUGCAAAGAUGCUUUUAUCUCUAAGUAUUUUCCUCCCACUAAGAUUAUCACUCUUAGGAACGAUAUUAUGAAUUUUAAACAACUUGAUCAUGAGCAUGUUGCCCAAUCUUGCGAAAGAAUGAAAUUGAUGAUUCGCAUUUGCCCUACUCAUGGUUUGAAUUUAUGGAUGAUCAUACAAAUAUUUUAUGCCGGUUUGAACUUUGCUUCUAGAAAUCUCUUAGAUUCGGCCGUGGGAGGCACGUUUAUGGAAAUCACGUUAGGAGAUGCUACAAAACUUCUUGAUAAUAUUAUGGUUAAUUAUUCUCAAUGGCACACCGAAAGAUCUUCUAGUAAAAAAGUGCAUGCUAUAGAAGAAAUCAAUGUUUUGAGUGGAAAGAUGGAUGAACUUAUGAAGUUGUUUGCUACUAAAAAUACACCUCUUGAUCCCAAUGAUAUGCCUUUUUCUACUUUGAUUGAGAAUAAUAAUGAAUCUAUGGAUGUGAAUUUUGUUGGUAGGAAUAGUUUCGGUAACAAUGCUUAUAGAGGAAACUUUAAUUCUAGACCGUUCCCUUGA